AAUGAGCGCUGGCGGCGCGCCUAAUACAUGCAAGUCGAGCGAGAAGACGUAGCAAUACGUUUGUAAAGCGGCGAACGGGUGAGGAAUACAUGGGUAACCUACCCUCGAGUGGGGAAUAACUAGCCGAAAGGUUAGCUAAUACCGCGUACGCUCCUUGGACUUCGGUUCAGGGAGGAAAGCGAUACCGUGGGUAUCGCGCUCUUGGAUGGGCUCAUGUCCUAUCAGCUUGUUGGGAGGUAACGGCUCACCAAGGCUUCGACGGGUAGCUGGUCUGAGAGGACGAUCAGCCACACUGGCACUGCGACACGGGCCAGACUCCUACGGGAGGCAGCAGUAAGGAAUAUUGCGCAAUGGGCGAAAGCCUGACGCAGCGACGCCGCGUGGGGGAUGAAGGUCUUCGGAUUGUAAACCCCUUUCGGGAGGGAAGAU
rnacentral:rRNA from 1 species